UUAUGGACUAAAUGGGUAAAUUGCCGUUUCCGGAUCGAGCAUUGGCAGGUCGGCUCGGGGUUGGAGAUCGUCGGAGACAAAAUCACACUAUUAAACUAUCAUUUUGGAAGAAUUAAUUCAAAUAUUAGAAAUAUCAAGUGAGUGGCAUGUAUAGGAUGUUAGUUUGUGAUAUGUAUUUUUAUUAUGAUUUUGACCAUACGUAUCAGUCUGCAUUGAGUUAUCGUAUAUGAUCAUUAGAUGUAGUCCUUAUCCAUUAUGGUUUAUAAGUUUAAUUAAUCGUGCCA